AACCCCUGUGCCAAAUUUCAUGCUUUUAUCCACUUUUGCACUAUCCUUCCAAAUUUGGGUGCUAAGCCACCUGACUACAGGUACAAAGUCGCUG